rnacentral:tRNA from 1 species
GCCCGGGUAGCUCAAUCGGUAGAGCGUGUGGCUCUUAUGUUCUGGAUAUUUCGAUGUUCACUAAGUUCAAACCUCAAGGUCGUGGGUUCGAGCCCCACCUCGGGCU